GAUGAACGCUCGCGAUAGGCUUAACACAUGCAAGUCGAGGGGCAGCACAAGGUAGCUUGCUAUCUGGGUGGCGACCGGCGCACGGGUGCGUAACGCGUAUGCAACUUGCCCUAUACAGGAGGAUAACCCGUCGAAAGACGGACUAAUACUGCGUAUGCUCACAACUUGGCAUCAAGUGGUGAGGAAAGAAAUUCGGUAUAGGAUAGGCAUGCGUCCCAUUAGCUUGUUGGUGAGGUAACGGCUCACCAAGGCAACGAUGGGUAGGGGAACUGAGAGGUUUAUCCCCCACACUGGUACUGAGACACGGACCAGACUCCUACGGGAGGAAGCAGUGAGGAAUAUUGGUCAAUGGGCGCGAGCCUGAACCAGCCAAGUCGCGUGAAGGAUGACUGUCUUAUGGAUUGUAAACUUCUUUUAUACGGGAAUAACAAGAGUCACGUGUGACUCCCUGCAUGUACCGUAUGAAUAAGCAUCGGCUAACUCCGUG
rnacentral:rRNA from 1 species